rnacentral:rRNA from 1 species
UACGUAGGGGGCGAGCGUUUGUCCGGAUUUAUUGGGCGUAAAGAGCUCGUAGGCGGUUUGGUAAGUCGGGUGUGAAAUCUCCACGCUCAACGUGGAGGGGCCACUCGAUACUGCCAUGACUCGAGUCCGGUAGAGGAGUGUGGAAUUCCCGGUGUAGCGGUGAAAUGCGCAGAUAUCGGGAGGAACACCAGUGGCGAAGGCGGUUGCCUGGAGCUUGCUGACGCUGAGGCGCGAAAGCGUGGGGAGCGAUCCGG